rnacentral:rRNA from 1 species
ACUACCCGCUGAACUUUAAGCAUAAUCAAUAAGGCGGACGGAGA